rnacentral:rRNA from 1 species
GACGAACGCUGGCGGCGUGCUUAACACAUGCAAGUCGAACGGAAAGGCCCUGCUUUUGUGGGGUGCUCGAGUGGCGAACGGGUGAGUAACACGUGAGUAACCUGCCCUUGACUUUGGGAUAACUUCAGGAAACUGGGGCUAAUACCGGAUAGGAGCUCCUGCUGCAUGGUGGGGGUUGGAAAGUUUCGGCGGUUGGGGAUAGACUCGCGGCUUAUCAGCUUGUUGGUGGGGUAGUGGCUUACCAAGGCUUUGACGGGUAGCCGGCCUGAGAGGGUGACCGGCCACAUUGGGACUGAGAUACGGCCCAGACUCCUACGGGAGGCAGCAGUGGGGAAUAUUGCACAAUGGGCGGAAGCCUGAUGCAGCAACUCCGCGUGCGGGAUGACGGCCUUCGGGUUGUAAACCGCUUUCGCCUGUGACGAAGCGUGAGUGACGGUAAUGGGUAAAGAAGCACCGGCUAACUACGUG